rnacentral:tRNA from 1 species
ACCAACGUGGCCGAGUGGUUAAGGCGGCAGACUUAAGUAUCUUUACUAGGAUUCUGCUACAGUAAUGUGCGCGGGUUCGAACCCCGUCGUUGGUA